CAGAAACCUCAAACUGUCUGAAAACAACAGGAAGGUGACAAAUGUGAAGGAGGAUCAGUCAUAUCCUGAUCAUCCAGACAGAUUUGACUCCUGUCCUCAGCUGCUGUGUAGAAAUGUUCUGACUGGUCGCUGUUACUGGGAGGUCGAGUGGAGAGGAAGAGUUUUUAUAUCAGUGAGUUACAGAGGAAUCAGCAGGAGAGGAGGCAGAGCUGACUGUGUGUUUGGAAGAAAUGAUCAGUCCUGGAGACUGGACUGCUCUGAUGAUGGUCGUUACUCUGUCUGUCACAAUCACAGAACAACACCCAUCUCUUCCUCCUCUUCCUCCUCCUCCUCCUCCUCCUCCUCCUCCUCCUCCUCCUCCUCCUCCUCCUCCUCCUCCUCCUCUGUCUCUAACAGAGUAGCAGUGUAUGUGGACUGUCCUGCUGGCACUCUGUCCUUCUACAGAGUCUCCUCUGACACACUGAUCCACCUCCACACCUUCAACACCACAUUCACUGAACCUCUGUGUGCUGGGUUUGCAGUCUGGUCUGGUUCAGUAGUCUCUCUGUGUCCUCUGUAGGAGGGAGAGUCUCUCUGUGUCCUCUGUAGGAGGGAGAGUCUCUCUGUGUCUUCUGUAGGAGGGAGAGUCUCUCUGUGUCCUCUGUAGGAAGGAGAGUCUCUCCUGUGGACAGAAACUCUGCUGACUGAAGAUCAGCUGCUGAAAUCAAACAUCACACACACUCUGCACUGUGAAGCAGAUCUGUCUCAGACUCAAACACUCAGUUAUGUUUCCUUCCUCAUCAUUCUUUGAUGUCAGGACUGUAGAUGUAGUUUGUGUUAAAAUAUGUCUUAUUAAUGUGUAUAUACAGAAGGCAAUUGGUGGAUUGACUUCCAGCCCUGGUAGAUGAUUGGCUGAGGAUCCAUAUCACCACGCAUCAUAAGUCCUAGAACCUCUCUUUGGUGAUGGCUCAAUGUUUAAAAUACACAAAGAGCUGAAAUAUUGUUUUUAUUUUGACGACGACUUGCUAUGUGUAAAGAUGACACAUAGGACUGAGUAUAAACUCCUACAGCAGCACUUGAAGUGUUGUCUUUUGAUUAAUGGAUGUAAAGGCUCCAAUAUUCCUUAUAGAUGUGUAUCUUGAAUAUGUAUGAUGUAUUUUUAUAUUCCUCCUUAACAUGCUAAGUAAUCAAAUUGGUUAUAUUUCUUACAUUUAGCCUAUUUUUGAGUUUAAGUUUUGAUUCAUAUUUUCUACUUAUAUUUUUGAUGUUUUGA